AGCAGAGUGGCUCAGUGGAAAGAGCACGGGGUGGGGAGUUGGAGGUCGUGAGUUCAAAUCCCAGCUCUGCCG
rnacentral:tRNA from 1 species